rnacentral:rRNA from 1 species
GACGAACGCUGGCGGCGUGCCUAAUACAUGCAAGUCGAGCGAAUGGAUGGGAGCUUGCUCCCUGAAGUUAGCGGCGGACGGGUGAGUAACACGUGGGCAACCUGCCUGUAAGACUGGGAUAACUUCGGGAAACCGGAGCUAAUACCGGAUACAUUCUUUCUUCGCCUGAAGAAAGAUGGAAAGAUGGUUUCGGCUAUCACUUGCAGAUGGGCCCGCGGCGCAUUAGCUAGUUGGUGAGGUAACGGCUCACCAAGGCAACGAUGCGUAGCCGACCUGAGAGGGGGAUCGGCCACACUGGGACUGAGACACGGCCCAGACUCCUACGGGAGGCAGCAGUAGGGAAUCUUCCGCAAUGGACGAAAGUCUGACGGAGCAACGCCGCGUGAGCGAAGAAGGCCUUCGGGUCGUAAAGCUCUGUUGUUAGGGAAGAACAAGUACCAGAGUAACUGCUGGUACCUUGACGGUACCUAACCAGAAAGCCACGGCUAACUACGUGCCAGCCGCCGCCGUAAAAC